GAGGGAGGAGCAGGAAGCAAAGGAGCAGGAAGUAAAGCGGGAAAGGAAAGCAGAGCAGCAAGCACAACAGGAACAGGAAGUAAAGCAGGAGCAGAAACUAAAGGGGGAAAAGGAAGUAAAGCAGGAGCCGGAAAGAGGCAGGAACAGGAAGUAAAGCAGGAACCAGAGGGAAGCAGGGCAACAGGUCCUCCCUUCCACUCAUCCUUGCAGCCUCCUCUAGCCUACCAGUGGCCAGUCCAGCAGGGAGACCCUGGCAAGGCAAAAAUGAGGCUCCCAAGCACCAGGCCAGCCCCAGAAAAUGGGUGCAGCAGAAGCUCGAUGUUGAAAGUCAGUGGCUUCCAAGUAGCACAUGCAUGGAAACUCCAGGACCACCAGAAGGAAAAGCUUCACGGUCCCCUGCCUCCUGCCCUUGAGAAAGCAUCCUUGGUGUGUGUUGAGUGACAGCUGAUGCUCGCCCAGCGCCUGCCGUGUGCCAGGAGGCAUCCUAAAUACCUCCAGUCUUUUAAUUCAGCUAUCCCCAACAAUGCAACGCUAUGGGGUGGGUGUCACGGUCACCCCCCUUUCACAGAUGAAGAGACUGAGGUAUAGAGCUAAACAAGGCUCCGGGUCACUCCAGGGCUGGGACUGUGACGAGGCAAGUGAGGCGCCUGGGGCCCAGAAUUUAAGAAGGCACCCUGCUCAGGGGUCUGCCUGCAGGUGCACUGCCCCUGGCACCUCACUCCCCUCCCCCCAAGCCCAGCGCUAGGCCACACAGCUAGUGAGUGGCAGACACUGAAUUUAAAUGACAGCAGUCCAGCUGCAGGCUCCCUGCUCAGAACCACUAUAUGAAGUGCAUCAAAUACCUUGAGUUUAAGAAAGUCCAGUAUAUGGCACAAAAAUAUACACAUGCAAGAGCUCACUAAAUGCAGCCAGAUUCCAUCAUCUGAAUAUGAGUUAUCCAUUUCAGUAAUAGCCUUGGCCAGCAUUUAACCCCAGGACAGCUUCCUUCUGGCACCUAGCCUGCUGCUGGGAUGUCUUCCUCCUUUUCACCCCUCAACCUCCCUCAUGUAUUAGGGAGACUGAUUUUAAAAGUUGGCUCAAAGUGCUGGGAUUACAGGAGCGAGCCACCGCACCCAGCUCUUCUUUGAGUUUUUAAGGCCAUAUAAGCUGUGGAUGUUAUAGGAUUUCUUAUUUCCCUGGGCAGCAACUGGGCCUCUAUUGAGACCCAAAUGCCCUCUUCAGAGGGAACUACGAGGUCAACAAGCACAAUCCCCACAUGUGCAGUGAAGUCUCCAUACGUCCACUCUGGAGGAGGAGAUGACAAGGCAGGGAGGCUGUCAUUUCCUACUUGGGCUGGCCCUUCUAGGGACGGUCUGCUCUGGCCCCUCUGUGAUUCCAGUCAGCAGCCUAGCAUGUCACCCUGGGAGGACCGCAGGAACUAGCAAAUCCAAUAUUCUGCUUACAAAUGGGGAGACGGAGGCCCCAAGAAGAAAGCUAAGAGGUACCAUCAUCAAAGGUCUGCCUCCACCCCAAGAGGACCCUGUGGACGUGGUGCCCCAGGCUCCACCAUCCCCAGGAGAAGAGUGCCAUGCUUGGACUCGUUUUUGCUGUUUCUGGGACAGUGGUGCCAUUCCCCUCCCGUGACUGACUCCUGCGUGCAGUCCCUAUAUCUGCCCAUCACCCCCGGGGCACUGUCCACAGCAUUCUGUUGAUUUCCUCCACACUGUCUAACACAACCUGAAACAACCUCAUCUGCCCACCACGUCUCAUCUGUGCCUCCCUGCCUGGAACGGAGCUGCAGGAAGGCAGCGAUGUUUGUCUGGAGGUGAGCACUGCGGUGGGCAUUUGCCCCGCACGUGGUGGGUGACCAUUGGGCGGGUGGGCACCCCCUGAGGCCUCAGAGCAGCAGACGCCCCUCCCUGAGCCUGGUUGGGCCUGCACCACAAGCAGCACCCAGGUCCCUCUCCACACACAGCUCAGUGCAGGCCGUGAGCAAGUGGCCGCAUCCACGCUGCUGACCACCUGCCUGGCAUGGCGUCUGGUAAACAGCAGAUGGAUAUUGGCGUAGAUGUGCCACCUCGAAUUGCUGGAUUGGGCAGAACCCUGCUAGAGCCCAUCCAGUUGCAGACACAAACCCAGGGCCCAGCAGAUGGUGCUGUCUGCUAGGACGAGGCUGGAGAGCAGUCGCUCCAUCCAGUCACCGUUUCCCGCAUCUGGAUGCCUGCAUCAUCCCCUGGACAGCCAUGCAGAACCCGCGCUGUGCAGGCAUUGGAGGGCCGGGGACAGGAGGCUAACCCUCUAUGGUGGGGUCCAGGCUGCCCCGCACAGCAUCCUGCAAGGCAAGUUCCGCACCGCGACCACAGGCGGCCACAGCCCCGCCACUGAGCACUCGGGGGCAGCCGCGGUGCAGGAGCAGAAGUUUCUGUCUCACUUUGUUUUUAUUUCAGUGUCCACCCCCUGGUUGCGGGUUCCCUGUUCGCUGGUGCAGGUCUAUGAGGAGGAAACACACAGAAACCAAAAGAUGGAAUCAGGCUGUCUCGGGCCACUUCCUUCCGCCACAGCUCUGCCUGGAGUGCCAGCCCCAGCACAGGUGAAUACACAGAACCAGCGCCUCCCUCCUGGAGCUUUCCUGGGGAGACCAGUGAGGGUGAACAAGGAAGUGGAUAGAGAACUCCCCACAGCUAGCACGCGGCGCUCCCAGGGAAGAGCAUGCCAGGCUGGAGGCCCUGCGGAGGGGACAAGCUCGGCAGCUUGGAGGACCAGAGAGAAAUCCAGCUCCUGCCUCCUAACUCACACAGCCCUGGUUAUAGCCUUUUGUUAUCACGUUGGGGCAGUUUAGGCCUCAGGAAACUGAAUCUCAAGACCCUAAUCUGACUGUGGGUCAGAAGAUACUCAUUCCAGGGCGGGUUCUGCCCCAUCCCCUAGAGGAAGAAAUGCUGCCGAGAAGCUGAGAAGAGUCUGGGCCAGGCGUGGUGGCUCACGCCUGUAAUCCCAACACUGGGAGCCCAAGGCAGGCAGAUCACCUGAAGUCAGGAGUUCGAGGCCAGCCUGGCCAACAUGGCAAAACCCCAUCUGUACUAAAAAUACAAAAAUUAGUCGGGCAUGGUGGCACGUGCCUGUAAAACCAGCUACUGGGGGUGCUGAGCCAGGAGAAUUGCUUGAACCUGGAAGGCAGAGGUUGCAGUGAGCCGAGAUCACACCACUACACUCCAGCCUGGGUGACAAAGUGAGGCUCCAUCUCAAAAAAAAAAAAAAAAGAAGAAUCUGGACAGACAAGCCCUGCUGAGUUUACACCACACCCUAUUUAUCCAGUUGCAUUUCUACGUGGUUGUCAAUCAUUCCUGUCCAAUGAUGUCUCCAUCAAAGGCCCAAGAGGACAGGGUUCAGGGACCUUUCAGAAAGCUGAGCACGCAGAGGCUCCUGGAGGGGCUGCCCAGGGAGGGCAUGGCAGCUCCACGCCCCUUCCCCGUACCUCGUCUGUGCAUCUCUUCAUGUAUAUUCUUUGCAAUAUCACUUAUAAUAAACCAGGAAACGUGU